AUGUGGCCUGCACCAGUCCUUCUGCUCGUCCAGUCGGCUCUGCUGAUUCAAGGAUCUUCCGCCCAGGAUUUGUUGACCCAGACGGACAAAAUCAAGUAUGUCAGUCUUGGUGGGACGGUGACCAUCAGCGCCAAAGGGAGUUCAAAUAUUGGUGUUGAUCUCAGUUGGUACCAAGUGAAACCUGGACAGGUUCCUAAACUUCUGAUCUAUCAGGCAUCACAACUUUCUUCUGGAACACCACCUCGAUUCAGUGGCACACAAUCUGGCUCUGACUACACUCUGACUAUCAGUGGUGUUCAGGCAGAAGAUGUCGCUGAUUACUACUGUUUGGCCUUUUUUGGAGCUGGAAGGUAUACACGGUGAUUGAGAGCUGUACAAAAACCUCCUUUGGUUUGAGGGAAGUGAAAGUGGAAGAUGAUGAUGACUGGUCCACUGAACAAAGAUCACCAAGCAGAACCAGCGUCAAUCUGAACAAGUUGAUUGACUUGUAAG